rnacentral:rRNA from 1 species
UACGUAGGGCGCAAGCGUUGUCCGGAAUUAUUGGGCGUAAAGAGCUCGUAGGCGGUUUGUCGCGUCGGAUGUGAAAGCCCGGGGCUUAACCCCGGGUCUGCAUUCGAUACGGGCAGACUGGAGUGUGGUAGGGGAGAUCGGAAUUCCUGGUGUAGCGGUGAAAUGCGCAGAUAUCAGGAGGAACACCGAUGGCGAAGGCAGGUCUCUGGGCCACUACUGACGCUGAGAAGCGAAAGCAUGGGGAGCGAACAGG